rnacentral:rRNA from 1 species
GGAGGUAGUGACAAUAAAUCACAAUGCCGGGCUUUUAUAAGUCUGGCAAUUGGAAUGAGAACAAUUUAAAUCCCUUAUCGAGGAUCAAUUGGAGGGCAAGUCUGGUGCCAGCAGCCGCGGUAAUUCCAGCUCCAAUAGCGUAUACUAAAGUUGUUGCAGUUAAAAAGCUCGUAGUUGAAUUUCUGGUCUCGGACAUCGGUCUGCCUCGAACGAGGUACGUACCAGUUGUCUGAAUCCAUCCUCGGGGAAAACAUGUCUGUCAUUCAGUUGAUGGGCAUGGGAUCCUCGUCAUUUACUGUGAGCAAAAUAGAGUGUUCAAAGCAGGCUUAUGCCGUUGAAUACAUUAGCAUGGAAUAAUAAGAUAGGACCUUGGUCUAUUUUGUUGGUUUGUACUCCAAGGUAAUGAUUAAUAGGGAUAGUUGGGGGUAUUCGUAUUCAAUUGUCAGAGGUGAAAUUCUUGGAUUUAUGG